rnacentral:rRNA from 1 species
UACGAAGGGGGCUAGCGUUGCUCGGAAUCACUGGGCGUAAAGCGCACGUAGGCGGAUUGCUAAGUCAGGGGUAAAAUCCUGGAGCUCAACUCCAGAACUGCCUUUGAUACUGGCGAUCUCGAGUCCGGGAGAGGUGAGUGGAACUGCGAGUGUAGAGGUGAAAUUCGUAGAUAUUCGCAAGAACACCAGUGGCGAAGGCGGCUCACUGGCCCGGUACUGACGCUGAGGUGCGAAAGCGUGGGGAGCAAACAGG